ACAAGCGGUGGAGCAUGUGGUUUAAUUCGACGCUACGCGAAGAACCUUACCUGGGCUUGACAUGUAAGUGGUAAGAACCCGAAGGGGAUGACUUGGGGUAACCCCUUGAGCUUACACAGGUGCUGCAUGGCUGUCGUCAGCUCGUGCCGUGAGGUGUUGGGUUAAGUCCCGCAACGAGCGCAACCCUUGCCUUUAAUUGCCAUCAUUUAGUUGGGCACUUUAAAGAGACUGCCGGUCUUAAGCCGGAGGAAGGUGGGGAUGAUGUCAAGUCAGCAUGGCCUUUAUAUCCUGGGCUACACACACGCUACAAUGGUCGGUACAACGAGAAGCAAGUCAGCGAUGGCAAGCAAAUCUCUAAAAGCCGAUCCCAGUUCGGAUUGCAGGCUGCAACUCGCCUGCAUGAAGUCGGAGUUGCUAGUAAUCGCGGAUCAGAAUGCCGCGGUGAAUGCGUUCCCGGGUCUU
rnacentral:rRNA from 2 species